rnacentral:rRNA from 1 species
UAUCUAAACGGGNAGAUUNNAUAUUGUCUUNNCGGNCAAUGUGCACUUCUUCCUUAGUAAGACGCUGUGAUCCAUUAGAAAUUGACCNUUCCAAUGGUUAUUUGGCUAUCAAUAGGGCGGCAUGAAGUUCAUCAAUGCAAAUAACUCGAUCUUUAAUGGCUGGGUAUAUUGUUUGGCGAGCGUGUCGUUUUCUGUCUAUAGCUGUCUGAUGGAUUUUAAAGGCCAUAUUAUUGGUGUUUCGGCACCACUCACAUGUGAGAAUGAAUAUGUGCCCGAUCAACAGCGGUUAAAUUUGGGAUACCUUUUGGACCCGUCUUGAAACACGGACCAAGGAGUCUAUCUAGUAUGCAAGUAAAUGAGUAUAUGAAACUUAUUUGCAUAAAAAACUUGACUGUUAUGGGACUACGAGUAGCAUUUCGGUGCUGCUCCUCCAUCCCGGGGUAUUUUCAUCAAAAUAUGGCAACAUAUUGAAAAUAUACCAUGAGCAUACUGGAUAUGACCCGAAAGAUGGUGAACUAUGCCUGAUCAGGUUGAAGUCAGGGGAAACCCUGAUGGAGGACCGAAGCAAUUCUGACGUGCAAAUCGAUUGUCAGAAUUGGGCAUAGGGGCGAAAGACCAAUCGAACCAUCUAGUAGC